ACAUGAUCACAAGUCCCACAAUAGGCUGUCUGCAAGCUGAUGAGCAAGGAAGCCAGUCGGAGUCUCAAAGCUGAAGAACUUGGUGUCCAGUGUUGGAGGGCAGGAAGCAACCAGCAUGGGUGAAAUAUGUAGGUCAGGAGACUAAACCAGUCUAGUC